CGUUCCCGGGCCCUGUACACACCGCCCGUCAAGUCACGAAAGUUGGUAACACCCGAAGCCGGUGGCCUAACCCCUUGUGGGAGGGAGCUGUCGAAGGUGGGACUGGCGAUUGGGACU
rnacentral:rRNA from 1 species